rnacentral:rRNA from 1 species
AUUGAACGCUGGCGGCAGGCCUAACACAUGCAAGUCGAGCGGAUGAAGGGAGCUUGCUCCUGGAUUCAGCGGCGGACGGGUGAGUAAUGCCUAGGAAUCUGCCUGGUAGUGGGGGAUAACGUCCGGAAACGGGCGCUAAUACCGCAUACGUCCUGAGGGAGAAAGUGGGGGAUCUUCGGACCUCACGCUAUCAGAUGAGCCUAGGUCGGAUUAGCUAGUUGGUGGGGUAAAGGCCUACCAAGGCGACGAUCCGUAACUGGUCUGAGAGGAUGAUCAGUCACACUGGGACUGAGACACGGUCCAGACUCCUACGGGCGGCAGCAGUGGGGAAUAUUGGACAAUGGGCGAAAGCCUGAUCCAGCCAUGCCGCGUGUGUGAAGAAGGUCUUCGGCUUGUAAAGCACUUUAAGUUGGGAGGAAGGACAGUAAGUUAAUACCUUGCUGUUUUGACGUUACCAACAGAAUAAGCACCGGCUAACUUCGUG